CAGGGUAUAGACCCGAAACCCGGUGAUCUAGCCAUGGGCAGGUUGAAGGUUGGGUAACACUAACUGGAGGACCGAACCGACUAAUGUUGAAAAAUUAGCGGAUGACCUGUGGCUGGGGGUGAAAGGCCAAUCAAACCGGGAGAUAGCUGGUUCUCCCCGAAAGCUAUUUAGGUAGCGCCUCGUGAAUUCAUCUCCGGGGGUAGAGCACUGUUUCGGCUAGGGGGCCAUCCCGGCUUACCAACCCGAUGCAAACUGCGAAUACCGGAGAAUGUUAUCACGGGAGACACACGGCGGGUGCUAACGUCCGUCGUGAAGAGGGAAACAACCCAGACCGCCAGCUAAGGUCCCAAAGUCAUGGUUAAGUGGGAAACGAUGUGGGAAGGCCCAGACAGCCAGGAUGUUGGCUUAGAAGCAGCCAUCAUUUAAAGAAAGCGUAAUAGCUCACUGGUCGAGUCGGCCUGCGCGGAAGAUGUAACGGGGCUAAACCAUGCACCGAAGCUGCGGCAGCGACACUCAGGUGUUGUUGGGUAGGGGAGCGUUCUGUAAGCCUGCGAAGGUGGCCUGUGAGGGUUGCUGGAGGUAUCAGAAGUGCGAAUGCUGACAUAAGUAACGAUAAAGCGGGUGAAAAGCCCGCUCGCCGGAAGACCAAGGGUUCCUGUCCAACGUUAAUCGGGGCAGGGUGAGUCGACCCCUAAGGCGAGGCCGAAAGGCGUAGUCGAUGGGAAACGGGUUAAUAUUCCCGUACUUGGUGUUACUGCGAAGGGGGGACGGAGAAGGCUAUGUUGGCCGGGCGACGGUU
rnacentral:rRNA from 1 species